rnacentral:rRNA from 1 species
UACGUAGGGGGCGAGCGUUGUCCGGAUUUAUUGGGCGUAAAGAGCUCGUAGGCGGUUCAACAAGUCGGUCGUGAAAGUUCAGGGCUCAACCCUGAAAUGUCGAUCGAUACUGUUGUGACUAGGAUACGGUAGAGGUGAGUGGAAUUCCGAGUGUAGCGGUGAAAUGCGUAGAUAUUCGGAGGAACACCAAUUGCGAAGGCAGCUCACUGGGCCGCUAUCGACGCUGAGGAGCGAAAGCUAGGGGAGCAAACAGGAUUAGAUACCCUGGUAGUCCUAGCUGUAAACGAUGGAUACUAGACGUAGGAACUGGAUUGACGGUUUCUGUGUCGUAGCUAACGCGUUAAGUAUCCCGCCUGGGGAGUACGGUCGCAAGACUAAAACUCAAAGGAAUUGACGGGACCCCGCACAAGCGGCGGAGCAUGCGGCUUAAUUCGAUGAUACCCGUAGAACCUUACCUGGACUUGACAUAUAGGGUCUAGCUAUAGAGAUAUAGUGUGCAUUAGCGCCUUAUACAGGUGGUGCAUGGCUGUCGUCAGCUCGUGUCGUGAGAUGUUGGGUUAAGUCCCGCAACGAGCGCAACCCCUGUCCUAUGUUGCCAGCAUUUAGUUGGGGACUCAUAGGAGACUGCCGGUGAUAAACCGGGGGAAGGUGGGGACGACGUCAAGUCAUCAUGCCCCUUAUGUCCAGGGCUGCACGCAUGCUACAAUGGCAAGUACAACGAGUCGCAAUACCGCGAGGUGGAGCAAAUCUCUUAAAGCUUGUCUCAGUUCGGAUAGGAGUCUGCAACUCGACUCCUUGAAGUUGGAGUCGCUAGUAAUCGCAAAUCAGCAAAGUUGCGGUGAAUACGUUCUCGGGGUU